CCUACGGGUGGCUGCAGUGAGGAAUAUUGGUCAAUGGCCGGAAGGCUGAACCAGCCAUGCCGCGUGAAGGUCAGUGCCCUAUAGGCGUUAAACUUCUUUUGUGCGGGCGCAAUAAUGUUCACGUGUUGCCAGACUAGAGUACCGUACGAAUAAACAUCGGCUAACUCCGUGCCAGCAGCCGAGGUAAUACGGGGGAUACAAGCGUUAUCCCGAUUUAUUUGGUUUAAAGGGUGCGUAGGCUGUGAGGUAAGUCAGCGGUGAAAUGCCCCCGCUCAACGGGGGGAAGGGCCAUUGAUACGGGCUUGCAGGAAGGCGGAGGCCGUGGGAGGAAGGUGUGGUGUAGCGGUGAAAGGCAUAGAUAGCACACAGAACACCGAUUGCGAAGGCAUCGCAAGAAUCCGCGAUUGACGCUGAUGCACGAAAGCGUGGGUAUCAAACAGGAUUAGAUACCCUUGUAGUC
rnacentral:rRNA from 1 species